AGUGAACGCUGGCGGCAGGCCUAACACAUGCAAGUCGAGCGGAUGAAGGGAGCUUGUUCCUGGAUUCAGCGGCGGACGGGUGAGUAAUGCCUAUGAAUCUGCCUGGUAGUAGGGGAUAACGUCCGGAAACGGGCGCUAAUACCGCAUACGUCCUGAGGGAGAGAGUGGGGGAUCUUCGGACCUCACGCUAUCAGAUGAGCCUAGGUCGGAUUAGCUAGUUGGUGGGGUAAAGGCCUACCAAGGCGACGAUCCGUAACUGGUCUGAGAGGAUGAUCAGUCACACUGGAACUGAGACACGGUCCAGACUCCUACGGGAGGCAGCAGUGGGGAAUAUUGGACAAUGGGCGAAAGCCUGAUCCAGCCAUGCCGCGUGUGUGAAGAAGGUCUUCGGAUUGUAAAGCCCUUUUAGUUGGGAGGAAGGGCUGUAGGCUAAUACCUUGCUGGUUUGACGUUACCCAAAGAAUAAGCACCGGCUAACUUCGUG
rnacentral:rRNA from 1 species